rnacentral:rRNA from 1 species
AGAGUUUGAUCCUGGCUCAGGACGAACGCUGGCGGCGUGCCUAAUACAUGCAAGUCGAGCGUGAACCACAGGAGGGGUAACCCUCCUGCGGGGAAAGCGGCGAACGGGUGAGUAACACGUGGGCAACCUGCCCUCGACACUGGGAUAACCCCGGGAAACCGGGGCUAAUACCGCAUGAGACCACGGGGUCGCAUGGCCCUGAGGUCAAAGGUGGCCUCUGCUUGCAAGCUACCGGCUGAAGAUGGUCUCGCGUCCCAUUAGCUAGUUGGUGGGGUAAUGGCCUACCAAGGCGACGAUGGGUAGCUGGUCUGAGAGGAUGGUCAGCCACACUGGGACUGAGAUACGGCCCAGACUCCUACGGGGGGCAGCAGUCGUGAGGCUUUGGCAAUGGGGGAAACCCUGACCAAGCGACGCCGCGUGGAGGAUGAAGGCCCUUGGGUUGUAAACUCCUUUUGUUGGGGAAGAAACGCGAUCAGGUGAACAAUCUGGUCGUUUGACGGUACCCGACGAAUAAGCUCCGGCUAACUCCGUGCCAGCAGCCGCGGUAAU